AAAACGACUCUCGGCAACGGAUAUCUCGGCUCUCGCAUCGAUGAAGAACGUAGCGAAAUGCGAUACUUGGUGUGAAUUGCAGAAUCCCGUGAACCAUCGAGUCUUUGAACGCAAGUUGCCCCCAAGCCUUUAGGCCGAGGGCACGUCUGCCUGGGUGUCACGCA
rnacentral:rRNA from 8 species